CCCCGUGUUAGAUGUACUUCCUCUUUCUUCCUUUCAACUCUUGUAACAUAAAUUCCUCCUCCACCUUUGCCUGAAGUUUCUCCCUUACCUACUCCAUCUGCUUCUAUUCCUAUACCUGCUCCAUCUGCUCCUAUUCCCUCUUCAGCUAUUAUCACUUCUUCAACUACUCCUCCCUCAGUAGUUCCUCCUUCUAUUGUUCAUCAUACAGAAGCGGGUUCAACGAGCAAAAGUGCUUCCAUGAGGAGCGUGACUAUUGAAGUUCCCACCACCAACAGUAUUUUGAG
rnacentral:lncRNA from 1 species